CUGAGACUUCGAUGUCUGUCCAUCUGUCUGUCCGCUGUAUCUCACGAACCGCGAUAGCUAGACAGCUGAAAUUUUCACAAAUUGUGUAUUCUGUUGCUACAAUAACAAAUAC